GAGGGGUAAGGUUCUCUCUCGGAGAAUACACGACCGGCGCACGGGUGAGUAACGCGUAUGCAACCUACCUAUAACACAAGGAUAGCUCCCGGAAACGGGAAUUAAUACUUGAUGACAUUCAAAGAUGGCAUCAUCAAUGAAUCAAAGUUCCGGCGGUUAUAGAUGGGCAUGCGUGACAUUAGCUAGUUGGUGAGGUAGAGGCUCACCAAGGCGAACGAUGUCUAGGGGGUCUGAGAGGAUGAUCCCCCACACUGGUACUGAGACACGGACCAGACUCCUACGGGAGGCAGCAGUGAGGAAUAUUGCGCAAUGGAGGAAACUCUGACGCAGCCAUCCCGCGUGCAGGAUUGACGGCCCUAUGGGUUGUAAACUGCUUUUCUAUACCAAGAAACACCGAUACGUGUAUCGGUUUGCCGGUAGUAUAGGAAUAAGCAUCGGCUAACUCCGUGCCAGCAGCCGCGGUAAUACGGAGGAUGCAAGCGUUAUCCGGAAUCACUGGGUUUAAAGGGUGCGCAGG
rnacentral:rRNA from 1 species